AUUGAACGCUGGCGGCAGGCUUAACACAUGCAAGUCGAACGAUGAUGCCCAGCUUGCUGGGUGGAUUAGUGGCGAACGGGUGAGUAACACGUGAGUAACCUGCCCCUGACUCUGGGAUAAGCGUUGGAAACGACGUCUAAUACUGGAUACGACUGCCGGCCGCAUGGUCUGGUGGUGGAAAGAUUUUUUGGUUGGGGAUGGACUCGCGGCCUAUCAGCUUGUUGGUGAGGUAAUGGCUCACCAAGGCGACGACGGGUAGCCGGCCUGAGAGGGUGACCGGCCACACUGGGACUGAGACACGGCCCAGACUCCUACGGGAGGCAGCAGUGGGGAAUAUUGCACAAUGGGCGAAAGCCUGAUGCAGCAACGCCGCGUGAGGGAUGACGGCCUUCGGGUUGUAAACCUCUUUUAGUAGGGAAGAAGCGAAAGUGACGGUACCUGCAGAAAAAGCACCGGCUAACUACGUGCCAGCCGCCGCCGUAA
rnacentral:rRNA from 1 species